UACGUAGGGUGCAAGCGUUGUCCGGAAUUAUUGGGCGUAAAGAGCUCGUAGGCGGUCUGUCGCGUCUGCUGUGAAAACUCAGGGCUUAACCCUGAGCUUGCAGUGGGUACGGGCAGACUAGAGUGCGGUAGGGGAGACUGGAAUCCUGGUGUAGCGGUGAAAUGCGCAGAUAUCAGGAGGAACACCGGUGGCGAAGGCGGCUGCCUGGCCUGUAACUGACGCUGGAGACGCGAAAGCCGUGGGGAGCGAACCGG
rnacentral:rRNA from 1 species